GACGAACGCUGGCGGCGUGCUUAACACAUGCAAGUCGAACGGAAAGGCCCUGCUUUUGUGGGGUGCUCGAGUGGCGAACGGGUGAGUAACACGUGAGUAACCUGCCCUUGACUUUGGGAUAACUUCAGGAAACUGGGGCUAAUACCGGAUAGGAGCUCCUGCUGCAUGGUGGGGGUUGGAAAGUUUCGGCGGUUGGGGAUGGACUGGCGGCUUAUCAGCUUGUUGGUGGGGUAGUGGCUUACCAAGGCUUUGACGGGUAGCCGGCCUGCGAGGGUGACCGGCCACAUUGGGACUGAGAUACGGCCCAGACUCCUACGGGAGGCAGCAGUGGGGAAUAUUGCACAAUGGGCGGAAGCCUGAUGCAGCAACGCCGCGUGCGGGAUGACGGCCUUCGGGUUGUAAACCGCUUUCGCCUGUGACGAAGCGUGAGUGACGGUAAUGGGUAAAGAAGCACCGGCUAACUACGUG
rnacentral:rRNA from 1 species